AUGGCUUCUGCGCUGCCGUGGAAGCCUCUCUUCUGGGAGCGCGUCGAGAAUUCUCGUGCCCUCGCCGCCGCCGCCCGCGGCGACCUCGCCGCCGCCGCCGCCGCCGCCGCCACCAUCCACCUCGCACUCGCAUCGCCUCUGCGCGCCGGUGACCUCGAUCGCGCCGUCUCGCUGAUUGGAGAGUCAGAGGACAAGCUUGCCGCGGCGGGCAAGCAGGUUGCCUUCCUGUUUUCCGGCCUUGGCACCGUCGAGCUCCUCGCGCGCCGACGGAUCCGCGGCGACGACUCUGUGGAGCAGCAGGCCCGACCGAGGGCGCGCGAGGCCAGGGCACGGGCCGGCGCCGCCUACGACGACGUGGCUCUCUCUCGCGGCCACCUGGGAGCCGCGGCACGUCUGGUUGCCUGCGGCGACCUCCCCGACAUCUACUUCCGCGCCGAGUUUCUCGCCGCCACAGAGCCGCGGCGGCGGCCUCGGAGCACCUCCACGGGGUGGACGACACCCUGCGCAUCCGCCGCGACCUCGCGCCUCCACUUCUUCCCCUGCACCGGAGCGUCCACCCCCACACGCGCUCGGCGGCGCACCCCAGCGCCAAGCGGGAGGAAGAACACGACAAGGCGUGGAAGGCCCUGGCAUGCUCCGCUCCAGCGUCCAGCCGCGCUGCUACACGGAUGCGCCGACCUCGGUAAGUGCGUCAACGCCGUGAUGUCCUCUGCCGUUUGGGAACUCCCGUAG
rnacentral:rRNA from 1 species